CAUGGCUAAAAGAAAAGUAUUUCUCAUCAAGACACGUUGCUUGGUAUAGCAAGUCAAUCAAAAUAAUGACAAAAAUACAAACUUUGAAUUACUUUCACAUAUGGCAUAACCGCCAGAUUUGACUUGCAGCAUCUACUGACUGUUCAUAGGCCAUUACUCGUAUUUCAUGUCUCACAGAGUGGCGCUGGCUUGUGUGUCUCUUGAUGGAGAUUAAUUAAAAUAUUGAAUAAAAACAAUUUGGAGCAAAAUUAACCGGGGGAUAUCGAAAACUGGUGCCGUCUGACUUUAUCAUGACUAAACAUUGCCCCUUUGCGCUAGGCUAGUUUUGUGAAUUUUCGCAAUUAUUUUUCUUGAUUUCGUGUUCGAUAACUAAUGGCAGUGGAUAUUCGAAAUAAUAGGUAACUCAAAGAAGAGAUAUUCCCGAGCCCCUCUUCCAUUUUGUGUUAUCCGCCUUAUCAAAUGGAAAGACCUAGAGUUAGCUCUAAGGCGCCUCCGAACGACCGAUGGGUUUUUAUGAAGAUAUUUUAUUUCAUGGCAGAAACUCGGAGUGCUUAGAAUUUCCUGCCGUGGGGCGAUUGUAGUUAGAACAAAUUAUUUUGGACUCCAACCAUAGCCUUACGGAAGGUAGUCAAGGCCUUUAAUUUGUAUUGCGGAGAUAUAUUUUACUUUUCGGACUAUGCUGCCGUCAAUUAUACAUUUCCUUUAAUUCAAUUUUAGACCUCUCGGUUAAAAUAGAGAUAAGAAAACGCAAGAUAGCUGAAAAUAGGUCAGACGGAAUUCCAUCACCAAUACAAACAGAAAUUCGCAAUGUGAUUCUAUUCGGGUCUCAGCGUAAUUUACAGCCAACACCAAUAUUCAGCGAAUGCCAAAUUGCAUAUGGAUCGAUUUCACCGUCUUAAAAGGCUAUUGCUAAGUGCUUUCUUUCACUGAUGACGUCACUGUAGCUCUGGUGAAGUCAAAAAUUGACGAAGACCCCCGAAAUUGCCACAAGAAAGGAUUGCUAAUGAAUUGAGCUUGAAUGCCAUCCUUUGCUGUAUCGCGAAUAUUAAGUAAUCAUCUGGGAUAUAU